CGGUUUCUCGCAGACGAAAUUUCUGUGAAAGGUUGAUAUUGUUUUGAGAUUCCCAAAUUGUAAUUCACUGCCCUGUUUCUAUUGUAAAGGAAGUGACUUAUGAAUUCUGGUAUAAAGCUGGCAUUACAUGGUUUUUGGAAAAAGAUAUAAAAUGUUUUGACACAAGCAUUGCCUGUAUAUUUCACCCUUAUAUCUUUGUUAAGAUUUAUAUAUUGUGUUGGAUUAUUUCUAUUGGGUUUUGGCUCACCCAAUGUGGGAAAAUCAUUUUCAGGUGCUGAUGAUAUGUCUCUGCAAGGAAAUAGAUUGGGAGGACUUGGAAGUAAAAGCUUCAUUUUGUUUAUUUUGUUGUAUUCCUUUUGUACAAGCCUAGGGCUUUAACUGUAUUGGAUUUAAAUCCAUUUUGUCGUAACUAAGAUAUGAUUUGUUUUAUAAAUGCUAUUUUGAGAAUCAUGAAUGGCUGUCCAGUUUUUCAGCAAUGUAUUCAUAACAUCCUUAGCAUCAAGUGUUCAUGUGAUAUCUGUGACCUAAAACCAGGGUUUCAAGUGGGUUCCAUCCAUGGAACUGGUUAUGCAUAACUGCUUAUAUGAUCUGCACGUGGGUCUUUAUGACUAUCUCAAGUGAAUGUGGGUCUUUAUGACCAUCCCAAGUGAAUGUGGGUCUUUAUAACCAAGUGAUUUGUUAGCUAAUGGUUGUACCACGUAUAACUGGUUGAGAAAUUUGUGUGAUCAGGCGCGUGAUCAGACCUAAGUUGCUACCUAGAUCUAUUUUGUGUCAGCCAACCUGUGCGCCUCCCAAGGAGGUUCCCGGAAUGCUUCAAGUGGUCGAAAUUUGUGAACUACAUUUAAGCCUUUUGUUUAUUUUGUUUAAGUCUAAUCAAGUUCUUAUACACUCUGUUUAUUGGGCUAAGGCCCAUUUUGAUUUAUCUGUAUAUAAGAUGACGUAAGGCUAAUGUGACAAUGAUAUCAUAUAUGUAAAUAGAAGUUUCAAAUUUUUUGUUCCA